AUACCUGCCCUUAGGUUUGGCAUAACUCCGGGAAACUGGAGAUAAUUCCGAAUAAACCAUUCAUGCUGGAAUGCUUUUUGGUUCAAAGACUUCGGUUGCCUAAGGAUGGAUCUGCGGUCUAUCAGGUAGUAGUGGGUGUAAUGUACCUACUAGCCUACGACGGAUAUGGGUUGUGAGAGCAAGAGCCCAGAGAUGGAUUCUGAGACAUGAAUCCAGGCCCUACGGGGCGCAGCAGGCGCGAAAACUUUACAAUGCGGGAAACCGCGAUAAGGGGAYACCGAGUGCCAGCAUAUUAUGUUGGCUGUCCACAUGUGUAAACGGCAUGUGUUAGCAAGGGCCGGGCAAGACCGGUGCCAGCCGCCGCGGUAACACCGGCGGCCCGAGUGGUAAUCACUUUUAUUGGGUCUAAAGGGUCCGUAGCCGGUUUGAUCAGUUCUUCGGGAAAUCUGACAGCUCAACUGUUAGGCUUCCGGGGAAUACUGUCAGACUUGGGACCGGGAGAGGUAAGAGGUACUACAGGGGUAGGAGUGAAAUCUUGUAAUCCCUGUGGGACCACCAGUGGCGAAGGCGUCUUACCAGAACGGGUCCGACGGUGAGGGACGAAAGCUGGGGGCACGAACCGGAUUAGAUACCCGGGUAGUCCCAGCCGUAAACGAUGUUCGCUAGGUGUCAGGGACGGUGCGACCGUUUCUGGUGCCGUAGGGAAGCCGUGAAGCGAACCACCUGGGAAGUACGGCCGCAAGGCUGAAACUAAAGGAAUGGCGGGGA
rnacentral:rRNA from 1 species